AUGCUCUCAUUGGAUUUUUGCACCGCACGCCACUCUGCUGACUCCGUCGAAAUCACCGUCUCUCUCCUCCAGCUGCGGAUUCGACCACCUUCGCACGAAGCCAACGCCCUCCGCAGACGCCCACAACUGCGCCGUCAAACUCCUCUGUCGUCGCGUGAACGAAACAACUCCCAGAGCCGCAUCCCGCAACCGGAAAAUUACAUUGUCGACGAUCUCCGACUCACAGAUCCGCCACCGACGCCACCGAAACCGAUUAGUACGCGACCCUUCUCCUCUACGAAAGGCCACUCUGCCUCCUCCACCAACCGCUACUCAUCAGCGCUUUCGAUCAGGUAUUUUCUCUCUAUUACUUUGAUGUUUGAUUGA